UUACUAUGCUGGCAAAUUAUAGGCUUGUUUCUCAAAACAUUCGCAGUUGCCGCCUGAGAGCUUUUGCCUUGCCAUGCUUGACAGCUUGUGCUGCUCAGUUCUUUCUUGGAUGUCUAAGAAA